rnacentral:rRNA from 1 species
UCGAGGGGUAUGGGUUGCUUGCAACCCAGAGACCGGCGCACGGGUGCGUAACGCGUAUGCAACCUACCUUGAUCAGGGGGAUAGCCCGGAGAAAUCCGGAUUAACACCGCAUAACAUUGUGAUAUGGCAUCAUAUUAUAAUCAAAUAUUUAUAGGAUCGAGAUGGGCAUGCGUGACAUUAGUUAGUUGGUGAGGUAACGGCUCACCAAGACUGUGAUGUCUAGGGGAUCUGAGAGGAUGACCCCCCACACUGGUACUGAGACACGGACCAGACUCCUACGGGAGGCAGCAGUAAGGAAUAUUGGUCAAUGGGCGCAAGCCUGAACCAGCCAUGCCGCGUGCAGGAAGACGGCCCUACGGGUUGUAAACUGCUUUUGUACCGGAAUAAACCUGCUCUCGUGAGAGCAGCUGAACGUACGGUAAGAAUAAGGAUCGGCUAACUCCGUGCCAGCAGCCGCGGUAAUACGGAGGAUCCAAGCGUUAUCCGGAUUUAUUGGGUUUAAAGGGUGCGUAGGCGGCUUUUUAAGUCAGGGGUGAAAACUUGCGGCUCAACCGUAAGCUUGCCUUUGAUACUGAGGAGCUUGAAUACACUUGAGGUAGGCGGAAUGUGACAAGUAGCGGUGAAAUGCAUAGAUAUGUCACAGAACACCAAUUGCGAAGGCAGCUUACUAAAGUGAGAUUGACGCUGAGGCACGAAAGCGUGGGGAUCAAACAGGAUUAGAUACCCUGGUAGUCCACGCCCUAAACGAUGAAUACUCGAUGUUAGCGAUAUACAGUUAGCGUCUAAGCGA